rnacentral:rRNA from 1 species
AUGGACGGAGCUCCUGGCACUUCGUCGUCUGUAGAUCAUGGCACCACAAAUGUGGGAGAGACAGGUGGAAAUACAAAUGAUUAUUACAUCAAAAGGUUAAAACCAGAGAUAGGAAUGGAAUUUGAAAAUGACGAUAUAGCAUAUGAGUUUUACAAUGCAUAUGCAGGACAUGUAGGUUUCAGUGUCAGGAAAUCUUGGCAUGAUAAAUCCUCGACUACUAAUGUUAUUCGAACAAAGAAAUUUGUAUGCUCAAAGGCAGGUUACAAGGACAAGAGCAAGGAAGAAUGUCAGAGGAAGCGAGCAGAUACAAGAGUUGGUUGUCUGGCAGAGUUGACCAUCAAAAUAAGUACUAUGGUAAAUAUGUUAUAA